rnacentral:rRNA from 1 species
CCUACGGUGGGCAGCAGUGGGGAAUAUUGCACAAUGGGGGAAACCCUGAUGCAGCGACGCCGCGUGAGUGAAGAAGUAUUUCGGUAUGUAAAGCUCUAUCAGCAGGGAAGAAAAUGACGGUACCUGAUUAAGAAGCUCCGGCUAACUACGUGCCAGCAGCCGCGGUAAUACGUAGGGGGCAAGCGUUAUCCGGAUUUACUGGGUGUAAAGGGAGCGUAGACGGUGAUGCAAGUCAGAAGUGAAAGCCCGGGGCUCAACUCCGGGACUGCUUUUGAAACUGUGUGACUGGAGUGCAGGAGAGGUAAGCGGAAUUCCUGGUGUAGCGGUGAAAUGCGUAGAUAUCAGGAGGGAGACCAGUGGCGAAGGCGACUGACUGAACUGUAACUGGCGUUGAGGCUAGAAAGCGUGGGGAGCAAACAAGAUUAGAUAGCCUUGUAGUC